AGGCUGCUGUUAGGAUAUUGUUAGGCUGCUGUUAGGAUAUUGUUAGGCUGCUGUUAGGAUAUUGUUAGGAUGCUGUUAGGUUUUGUUAGGUUGCUGUUAGGAUGCUGUUAGGCUGCUAUUAGGAUGCUGUUAGAUGCUGUUAGGCUGCUGUUAGGAUGCUGUUAGGAUGCUGUUAGGUUGCUGAUAGGAUGCUGUUAGGUUGCUGUUAGGGUGCUAUUAGAAUGCUGUUAGGAUGCUGUUAGGUUGCUGUUAGGGUGCUUUUAGAAUGCUGUUAGGCUGCUGUUAGGCUGCUGUUAUGAUGCUGUUAGGAUGCUGUUAGGCUGCUGUUAGGUUGCUGUUAGGUUGCUAUUAGAAUGCUGUUAGGCUGCUGUUAUGAUGCUGUUAGGAUGCUGUUAGGAUGCUGUUAGGUUGCCGUUAGGUUGCUGUUAGGUUGCUGUUAGGAUGCUGUUAACAUGCUGUUAGGAUGCUGUUAGGCUUAUUUUAGGAUGAUUUAGGCUGCUGUUGGGAUGCUGUUAGGAUGCUGUUAUGCCUGCUGUUAGGAUGCUGUUAGGUUGCUGUUAGGAUGCUAUUAGAAUGCUGUUAGGCUGCAGUUAGGAUAGUGUUAGGAUGCUGUUAGGAUGCUGUUCGGAUGCUGUUAGGAUGCUGUUAGGUUGCUGUUAGGAUGCUGUUAGGUUGCUAUUAGAAUGCUGUUAGGCUGAUGUUAGGAUAUUGUUAGGAUGCUGUUAGGCUGCUCAUGGGCUGCUGUUACGUUGCCGUUAGGUUGCCGUUAGUUUGCUGUUAGGUUGAUGUUAGGAUGCUGUUAGGCUGCUGUUAGGCUGCUGUUAGCUUGCUGUUAGGCUGCUCAUGGGCUGCUGUUAGGCU
rnacentral:lncRNA from 1 species